UAUAUUGUGGUGUAUGGUGCUCAGGAGUUUUUGAUAUUUUUGGUGACAGUUUAAUUCUGUCCAAUAUAA
rnacentral:tRNA from 1 species